CCGGCGAGUGGCCCGAGAGGUCCCCUUGCCUAAGCUGCAGGCAGUCGGCUUAGGCAGGCUCCCUUCGUUUAAUUAAUUGCAAUUAAAAAGCUCUGCACUCAUUUCCUAGAGGGCUCCCGAGGACUGAUCCGCGGAGCGCGUGGGAACUGAGCGGAGGCCUAGGGGCCCUAGACUCACCUGCGGACUGGCCGGCUGCGCCCGGGUGUUUGUGUGGCUGUGAUUAUUUAUUGUGAGGAAGCAAACAUUGCUGCUGCCACUGCGCCAGCGGUGCGCGGAGGGCCCGGGCGCUUGCGAGAAAAGCAAGCACUUGGCUGACAAAUUUGCGUUCUUGAGGGUGUGGGAGGGAGCGCGAGGCCUCCUUUUUUGGUAACGAGGGAAAUAGUGCCUGGGAAGGGAUGAGCCGCGAGAGGGGUGAUCUGAGACAUCAGCCAGCAGAAGCAUCAGCCUCUGAAUACACAACGCGCUCGCACGAUCUGAGAUUUGGACACGUAACGCUGCAGACCACUGAUUUGCUAUUUUCUUAAUUCCCGCUCUUCUUAUCCCCUAUGAAUCAAACAGUCUUUUGUCCUUCAGAGUUUGAUUUGAUCGCUACUGUUCACAUUUCACUUUUGUAUUUUUCUCUUCCUAUACCAUUACUCAUUGAGUGCCCCGUGAAAUUACAAUCGUACAUUUUCAACUCAGCAGCCCAUUUGCAGUGCAAAAAUAGGGUCUAAAUAAUGGCUGAAUUAGCCCUACUGGACAGUUUCAGAUGUAACACUCUGUAAUAAUUAUAUUGCAGGCUGGAUUAGGAUGCUAUUAUCAUAAUCUGGACGUUUACAAUUAUCUGUAAUUUGCAAAGAUGCGCCAGGUCUUGAUUACAGCAGUUUUUUUUUUUAUCAAGCUAACCAUCACUAAACAGUGACAGUAAUAACAGCUAAUUUUGCUGGCAAUAUAAGAGGUGCUGGGGUGUGCAAACAAUUUCACACCUGGAUGUGCUCACUCAACCAAGAAUAUAGCGAAAGAGCUUCUGCCCUGAGACUCAGAAAAAUAUUCUCCACUGCUUCUGUUCAGUAUAGAUUUCUAGACCCUGAUCAUUGCUUAACAGAUUUGCACUGGGGGUCCUACGUCUCUGCAAUUUGUGUAUGAAUAACAGAAUAAUUUUCCUCUUUUGUUUCGCCUUUCCUGUUCCUGAAUCUAAAUAAAGAUGGCUUUUUAGUAUUAAAAGUGGAAGAAAAUUACAGGUAAUUAUCUUUGACGGUAAAAACGCUGUAAUCAGCGGGCUACAUGAAAAAUUACUCUAAUUAUGGCUGCAUUUAAGAGAAUGGAAAAAAACCUUCUUGUGGAUAAAAACCUUAAAUUGUCCCCAAUGUCUGCUUCAAAUUGGAUGGCACUGCAGCUGGAGGCUUUGUUCAGAAUUGAUCCUGGGGAGCUCUGAACCCAAAGUUUCACAGUGGGAAAGGGAAAAAAAAGAAAAGAAAACAUUUUUCCUAAUGUAACAAUACGAAUGGUAGAAAAUGACAAGACUGAUCGGUUUUAAACCAUUCUGAAGACUGACUGAGUGUGGAAGUUGCUCAAAAAAAAAAGGAGCUGGUAUAUUGCUGCCAUGGAAAAUGACCAGAAACCUACUUUCUCGGAAAGCGCAUCCAUCAUCUUCAGGCAUUCUUCCAAUCCGUUAACUGUAGCUGUUACUAAUGAGUGUCUCAGUCCAGAAAACCCAAUUAUUACAAUGUUUCAUGCAAUAGCAUCCAGAUACUGAGAAAAAUAAAUUGUAUUCGGGCAGCAUUUCUUCUGAUGAGGUUGUCUUUCCCUUCUGUUCUGUAAGCAGUAUUAUCAAACAUCUCUGUUACUAAUAAAGGUACAACUCUUGAGCUGUUGUAAAUUUAUAAUGUUCCAUGGACGUCAUGGGAGCUAUGCUAGUUUAUAUCAGCCAAGGAUUUGACCUACAAUGUUUGCAAAUCACCUGUUAACCCAUGUGUUUCUUUCAUGUGUAAGCUUUAUGUAUUUUCUUUUAACCAGGGAAGAGUUAUAAGAUAUAAAUUUUUAUUUCUUACAGUGUAUCAUGUAGAGCAGAAUCUGGUAUUCGGCUUUAAUUUCAGGGAUUUUCUAGAAAACAAUAAUUUAGCUAAUAUUUAAAAUACAUGAUCAUCAACACAAACAAACGUACCUCCCUGCUUUAUUUUAUUUUUAAAGUUCCCAUUUUAUUUCUUGUCAUUUCAAGGCCCUUGAUAAAGCUAAUUUCUCAUUGUUAUAACACAGUGGGGUACUGUCAAAGCCAUUAGGUUUGAGUGUGUUAGACUUUUUUGCUCCUGCUGUGUACACACAGAAUUUUGGAUUGAAGAAGUGGUCAUUUUGCCUCGGCUUGGUUUCCAUCAUAGAAAGAGGUCUUCCCACUGGCUUCUGCUCCCAUUCCAGUCUUCCACUGUUUGUGACAAUCUUUGGUGGCAACUCUUAUAACUUGCAGUGGCCAGGGCUGCUGGGCCUGGCCACUGCAAGUUGUUCUCCAUGCUCCUUAGCUGUGCCUUCAGCAGUCAUUCUGCUCCAUAGAGUUUCAUGCUUAUUGUGGUCAAAGCUUCAUCUCACCUGUCUGCCCUCACUGUGGCACAGUACAGUGGAGAAUAGAAACCAUGUAAAGCAUAUCCAGUUUUCUAUCUAUAUGCUUCUUCCUCAGCCUCAGUCAGGAACCCUCUUCAUUGUCCCUGUGUACCAGAGGAUGGAAGGAACCUUGUGGAGCUCAGGGCUCCAUAUAACCAGUGUUUACAGGAUAAAUGGAACAAGCACAAGUAGUUGAGUGGAACCAUACCCUGAAGGUGAAUUGGGCAAAGUUUGUGGAAGACAGUGACAAAUUUAAAAACAACUUUUUGGUUAGGAAACCCACCUAUGCAACAAGGAUAGGGCAAAAAAGCAUAUGCCUUCCCACAACAUUGGCCUUUAUCCUGAUGGAAAUCUUGUUUCCCCUCACUGUUACCUAGGAGUCCAGGAAAUGUAUCAUACAGCAUCAGAGAUCUGGUUAGGGCUGCCUCUCUGCAGCUUCCUAGUGAAUGUACCAGUGUAGGUGUAUUAAGUACAGAGGCACCCCAACCAGUGCCUAGGUUGGAGGUGGGCAAAAUGUGGCCCACGGGCCAGAUGCAGCCUCCCAGGCAAUUCUAUCUGGCUUGGGGGGCCCCUAAAAAAUUUAGAAAAUUAAUAUUUAUCUGCCCCUGGCUGCCUGUCAUGCGGCCCUCAAUGGCUUGCCAAAACUCAGUAAGUGGCCCUCCGUCCAAAAUAAUUGCCCGCCCCUGGUCUAGGUUGUCCUUUCCUGGAAUGCGUCUAAGCUUGGUGAUGGCAGGAAGCAGAAAAGUGGCCACUACUGUUAUUGUCUACAGGCUCUCAUUCUGGGGAACUUUGCAUAUUAUCUAUAUCUGUUAAGUCAAUGUACACAGCAUCUGUACUUGGACUUGGUUUGGAAGUUUGUAUCUCAGGGAAGCCCAUAAUCUCCAAAAAAAACCUGUGAAGCAUACUUAAGAAUUUCAGCUUAACUAGAUCACUCCCGUUCACUCGCUGUCUGUCAGUUGCCCUACAAAUGUGGGAGCCUUUCCAAGGAUGAAAAUACAGCUUUGUUGGGUGUUUCAGCAGGGCACAUGCUUCUUACACAAAUAUGGGGGCUGGCAAUAGAAUAAUUUUUUUGCUGGAAUAUAAGGGAAGAUUCCUCUUAGAGAAAAAGGAAACAACAUAAGCCAAAGCAACUGUCUGUAACUUAUUAUGGGCAGCUUUUACCAUUACAUUCUUUCUGUCAUCUGACAUUUCUAAGUCAUCUAGGGAAGCAGAAGAAAGGGCCAUGCAAGUGCACUACAGACCACAGAUGUACAUGUGGGUGGAGUGCCAUCUUUAGUUUCUGGAGACAGAUCAAAGUGGUUGGGCUCAGUCAGUGAUCUGUGGUAUUGCCCAUCAGUACUGAAUGGCGUCUUGCAGUGGUUGAUGAACAUCCUACAUAACUGUUGAGGACUCCCUUUUUCUUCAUGUGGAUAUUUCUUAAUACUAGUUCCCGAACAUCCCACACACCUCUUUUGUUCUCAAGGGUCAGCCCACAGGCAAGUUUUAUAUUCAUAAUUAAUUCUGCCAUGGUUAGAUUCCCAUAUGGUGAUGUCCUAGGUCACUGGCAGAUGACAUUCAGCAUGUUGCCAGGGGUACACCCAACCUAAAGGAUGGUAGUAAAUUGUGGACAUAAAUUUCUAAUUGUCUUUUUCUAGCGUAUUGUAGAGGGAUUCUAGAUGUGAUCCCUUGGUUUGGAUUUCUGACCACAGAAUUUUUUUCUGAGCCCUGAAAUUUAUGACUACCAAGAGGGGGCUUUCCUUUGGAAUUAUAUGAAGCUAUGGACCAGAUUGUCCACUAAAAGUCCAGGUCUGUAGGUUGGAUCCAGCUUCUGGUUUUUAUCUGUGAUGUGCAUGCCAAACAUAGGCACCUACCAUCAUCUACUGUGCAAACAAAAUAACUGGCCUCAGAAACCAUCAACCAAUGGCUGGUUAAGGCCAAGUAGGACAGCUGGAAUUAAGGAACUUUCGGAACUGGUUCUUUUCCAAAUUGGUUUCAGAAGAUCAUACAUUGGGGGAUUAGCAAACAUACUUUUCCAUUAAGUAGACAGAUAAAUGUUUUGGGUGCUCAAUGAUUAUUUGCUCAUCCAUCCAUACUUUUCCUGAUGUGCAUUCUUUGUUCAAAUUAUUUUCAGUGACAGGCUGAGAGAUGCCUGGUAAACAAUUUACUAAUGGAAAUUUAUUAAUGGCUAGUAGUUCUUAGUAGAGGGUCAGGAACCAUCAAGAAAUAUAACCAACUGACGGGUGGGAAUUCAUGGCCACCAAAUCAUAAGGGAACUAGAUGACCUGGGAAUGCACCCUUGACAUGGAUUAUAGAUAAACCUGUAAUGAUACAUGGACAGAAUUUUGACUGCAGGAGGGUACAGUCACUCACAGCCUAGAUGAUGGGCUAUCCUUUAACAGAUUUACAUAACAAACCUGCUUGCUCUCCUACUGGAUACACCAGUGUAAACAGUACUCAGAUGGAAGGAACCUAUGGGAAGUUGUAAAUUUUCUGAGUGUGGAAUUUCUUAUCAAAUUCUUUAACUUAGGAUGCAUCUUUCACUUGGGCAUUUAAGCAAUAAUGAGAUAAAGUUGUCAAGAACAGUAGGCAUUUAAUAUUACCCAUAUAAUUUGUUCUGUUGUUUGUUAUAAUAAUGAUAAUUAAAAUAGAAAUGACAGCUCUAAUUUGUCAGGCUGAAUUCAACCUUGAAGCAGAGUCCAAAGGCCAAACUGUCCCUUAUUCUAGGUUAGAGUAGCAUAAGCUUAUAGACUAGAAAACCCUUCUUGCUAUGUAUUAUAGAGAAAGUGUUUUUUUAAUUAAAUAUUCAAAUCAGAAUUCACUUUAGAAAAGUGGCUCACUGACCAUUUUGAUAUCUACUUUAUAAGACAGCCUGCAGCAUUUGGAGUCAGACCUUAUCAUCACUGAUUUCAUUGUGGAGAACUAUGCUUCCAAACACAUGGCACAAUAAGGCUCAUGGUGCAUUAAUUCUUCGCUAACAUACCCAACCAGUAAAAAAUAUAUACAAAUAAUGAACAGGGUUGUCAAUCAAGUUAACCUUGCUCAUUCAUAUUCUUGCAUGAGACAACCAUGUUCCCUGAAACUUUUCAUACCUGUCAUUUGGCUUAUGUGCACAGCAGGGCUUUGACAAUUCUGCAACUCCUUUCUUAGAAGGGAAGUCAAGAGCAGAAAGAGGGAAAUGAGUUUCUAUCUCUGACAACUUGAAAAACUACUGUUGUCUGAAUGUUACUGAUAGGCUAAAGCAUAAGAAAAUAUAUACAAAUUCACUAAAUUUAUUACCCAACUUUCCAAAUACUCAAAAGAACAGACAUGAAUGCUUGAUUAGACUGAUUAAUACUUUUUAAGCAUUGGAAAUGUGGUAGCAUUUUGUACCCUUGGACUCUGUAAAUUACCACGCCUUUUUGAUAUUUUCUUGUAUUGUUUCUUAGUGCUCACUGGUCUUGAAACAGAUUCAUAAAUAACCCUGCACCCCCUUAAAUUCCACAUUAUUUAUCCAUCCUGGUUCAAAGACCUCUUGAGUCCACGAAAAGGCUGCAGUGGCUUUGGAUCAGGCUUGAAGCUGCAAAAGAAAAACUGUCCAUCAUUUGAGUUUUACUCUAGCAUUUUUUAUCUUCUCUCUGUAAAAUGGAAUCAUGACACUUCCUUUUUAAAGUGCUUUGAUAUGUCUGAAAGCAAACCUGUAUAUAAGAGCCAAGCAUUUAUUAUUAGAACUCUUUUAGAAGAGUUAACCAAAAAAAUAUGAUUUAAAGAAAAAUAUUUUCUUAUGUUUGCUCCAACAUGACCGGAGUGUAACCUUUAUAUUUAAAAAUUCAGCUGCAGAUUAGAUUUUGAUUGCAAUGUUUUAUACUGAAAGUGAGAAUAAUGAAAGCAAUUAAGUGUUCAUAAGCCUGCUCUCUUACAAACACCUUCCAUGGUGAGCCUGUUUAUGCAACCGGGUGUGUGGUACAAUUGUUUUUAUUACCUUCUUAUAAACCAGCCUGUAUAAGACACUUUCUUUUUGAUUGUUUUCUCAUGCAUUGUCAAAUGCGUUUGCAUUCUAAAGGGCUUUGCCUCAUUAAAGCAAUUACUAUAAA